rnacentral:ncRNA from 1 species
GUUUAUGGUAUUUUUGAUUAUAUCAAAAAUUUAAAAGGGAAGAUUGGUGAAAUGCCAACACGGUCCCGCCACUGUAAUGGAAAUUUGAGUUCACUUAUACCACUGUUCUUUCAAUAAAAGAAUGGGAAGGUGCGAAUUUAUUAUAAACCUAAGUCAGGAGACCUGCCAUAAAUAA